UUUUGCAUUUUUAGUAGAGAUGGGGUUUCACCAUGUUGGUCAGGCUGGUCUCAAAACUCCUGACCUCGUGAUCCGCCCCCCUCAGCCUCCCAAAGUGCUGGGGUUACAGGCGUGAGUCACCGCACCUGGCCGGUAUGUCAUUUUUAAUCUUAACCCAUACAUCAGAACUCCAUUCUCUUCCUGUAUAUAAUAUCCUUAGACUCUUACAUUAGUUACAAUUAGUAAGUUACCUUAGUUCUUGGAAUGCACUUGAAUGUCUCUUUCGAAAAAAGAAAAACACUCCUUGGAAAGCCCAUAAAAUACUUCUUAAUGGCUAGACAAAAUUUGGGCAUUUUCUAAACAGUUUUUUUUUACUGCAAGAAGUAGCCUGCAAUUCAUGAAAUAGUUGUGAAGUAGUGUGUUUCACUGGAAAAAUCUUGGGUUUGGAAUUCUUACCACCAUUUAGUUGUUGGGGAUCUCAGGCAUGUUAUUUAAUUUUCCUUAUCUAUAAAAUGGAGAUAAUUGCACCUAUAUAGCACAAGGUCAUUAUGGGGAUUCAAGAUGGAAGGUACACACAGAAUCCAGGAGAGAAACUGGGAGAGGAAGGUGCUCAAUAAACAUUAGCUUAUUUCUCAGAGGCUUGUUGAAAAGGUUAAAUAAAAUCAUAAAUAUGAUGCAGUUCAUAGGGUAAGCAAUUAGUGCCCAGCUCUUCCCAUUGGAGUGUUGUUUCCACUAAAGUGAAUAUUUGGCAGUUGUUUUCUUUAUUGUUCAGUGUAAUCAUUCAGACUAGAUAAUUCAAUCAAGUCUUCACUUGGGACCUUGUGUUUGAUGAUCUCAUUGUUGUUUUUAAUUAAAAUAAUCUGAGAGAUGGAAAUGUACAUUGGAACCACUGGAGGACAAUUUUGUAAUACCAACUAAAAGCAUUUAAAAUGUUAUAUCCUAUCCAUUGAUCCCAAACUCCUACUUACAUGAAUUUACCCUUAGGAAAUAAUCAGAACAAAAAGAUUUAUAGCUAGAUGUUUAGUCAACUGCAAUACAGGAUGAUAAUAAAAAUGGAAACGAUCUAAAUAUGUAACAAUAGAAGAAUGGUUGAAUAAAUAACAAUCUCUCUCUUUGAUGGGAUAGUACACAGCAGUUAAGUCAAAUUUUGAAGAUUACAUAUGGGGAAAAUAAUCAUUAAAAUGUUAAAUUUAAAAGCAUGAUAACCUGUAUGUACAAUGAACCCAAAUUUGUAAAAUAUGAAAGUACCAGAUAAAUCAAUGAAGAAGCUGGCUCCUGCCUGAAUUACCAGAUGCAUUAAAAAUUGUAUAAAAUAUUGAAUAAACUCACCCCAAUUAUGUUUCCCUUUAAAUGUCUUUCAAUUCUGAUUCAAUUAGAAUCAUAUACUCAGUGUCGAUAACGUGUUUAUUUGUAUUGAUGAGAAACAAAAACAAGAAAGAAAAAUGACUAGAAAAAACACUCCACUAUGUUAAUAACAAUGUUAUCCCUGGGUAGUAACUUUAAGUUGAUUUUCUUCUUUUAUGUGUUUUUCUACAUUUUCUAAAUUUUUGUCAGUGCACAUAUUUUAUAAUCAGGAAAGCAGAUUUAUAUUAAAACAGAGGAAAACAUCAUCAAGUCCUUCUUUCUUGUCUACAUCUUAAUAAUUUUCUCAGCAUAAUCCUCUCCAGAUAUCUUUCACAGUCAAAGAGAUCCCUGUUUAUAUGAUACAGGUAGAGUAUCUACAGCACACUGAGAGGAAACCACGUCUUUUCAUGUCAUUCACUGAAUUCCUUCCAGUUUAUUCUGCACAGCCUAGCAACAUAGUGACUUAUAUAGACCUACAAUCCCUACUCACCUCCCCACUCCUUCCCCCGACCAAGCAUUUAAAUUAAUGUGAUGAUCACUUCCAUACCAAAUGCUUCCUUCUUGGUGGAGGCCCAUAACAUUUCCAAGAAAGCAAGGUGCUAGAGGUAAAUCACCAUCAACAGAACGGACAGUAGCAAAAAGCACCUUACAAGAUCCAGACUCCACCUAACUGUUUUGAAAUGGCUAGAGAUGCUGGAAUGGGUUGGGGUGGGUUAAGAUAGAGAAACUAAUUGAAAGGGGAGGAGGGAAUUAGGCAAGAAAUACCCUCCAGGCAAAAUGGAGUGGGGAGAAAAUUCAGAUACGUUGUUCUUACAGGACUAGUAGUAAUAAACACAAUCACAUUAAUACAAAGAGCAAUAAAAACAAUAAACAUAUCUGAGGUACCAACAGUGUGCUUGAUGCCGCCAGCAGAAUUAAGUCCUCUUUAUUAAGCUGUGAUCUGCAUUCUGCCUAAACUAUAAGAAAGGUGAGCAGCAGGCCGGGAGCAGUGGCUCAUGCCUGUAACCCCAGCACUUUGGGAGGCUGAGGCGGGCUGAUCACCUGAGGUCAGGAGUUCGAGACCAGCCUGUCCAACAUGGUGAAACCCCGUCUCUACUUAAAAAAAAAAAAUUAGCCUGGCGUGGUGGCAGGCACCUGUAAUCCCAGCUACACGGGAGGCUGAGGCAGGGAGAAUCGCUUGAAUCGGGGAGGUGGAGGUUGCAGUGAGCUGAGAUCAUGCCACCGCACUCCAGCCUGGGUGAGAGAGCCAGACUCCAUCUUAAAAAAAAAAGGAAAGAAAGAAAGGUGAGCAGCCUGCAUGCAUGAAGGAACAAGGCAGUGUGUCAUUCUCCUGACUAAAUGGUGCUGGUAGGGACUGUUACAUUCUUUGUGUUCUGUUGUGUUCUGAUGCUUAACUCAGAGCCUAGGGCUGUGUGGACCCAAAGACCAGAGUAAGAGAAUGGAGAGUCCUAGGAGAAAGAUGACAGAAGGGGUAGAAGAUAUCUUUGAGAUGUCAAGCAACGAAUAGUAUAUACAGGAAUAUAAAAGAAUGAAUCUGAGACCUUCAUGCAUCACGUUCUCAUUGAGCGGUACUUGGAAUCAUCUUUGAAAAACAGAAGGCUGGAUACGCUGCUUGGGUCCCUGGGGAGAAGGAGUGUUAUCACUGCAGAGGAAGCUGGUUGACCCAUUCCCUUGGGGGAAUUAAAAGUUCUGUACCCAGGGUGGACCCCAGGCCUUGUAGUCCAGAAUUGUGCCUUGGAAGGAGGACAAAAGAAAGUGGAAGCUAAUAUAGUCAAUGACUGGAAAGAAAAAUAGGUCUUUGAGAAUGUUGGGGGAGAUUGUUAGAGAUUAAAAGGGAAGGAAAAUUAG
rnacentral:lncRNA from 10 species